UAUAACGCCGUUGACUUUUUGUUUAACGUUUGACUAUUCGUCUUAUUUAAAAAAUUUAUGUAAUUAUUAUUUCUUUUAUUGUGACUUGAUUCAUCAUCAAAUGUUCUUUAAGCAUGACAUAAAUAUUUUCAUAUUUGCAAAAAAAUUUAAAUAAAACGAAUGGUCAAACGUUAGUUAAAAAGUCAACAGCGUCAUACAUU
rfam:Oryza glaberrima chromosome 3 Oglab03_0109_6, whole genome shotgun sequence.